rnacentral:piRNA from 1 species
UGGGAAGCCGGACAGUUCCAGC